CGGACGAUCGAUGUAUCUAUGUAUAUUUUCUAAGUGAGAGUAAGAGAACGUCUAAUGACAUCUAUUACGUUUAUUUAGUGCGCAAGUAUACAAGCGCCUCGAGUUAGUUUCAAUUCAUCAACUACCAAUUGCUGAUAACAAGUGUAGAGGGAGGGAAGGAAAGGAGGAUAGGAGUGUGUGAGCUUUCUGAGAAUUUUCGUUUAAAGAGAAAUUCUGCAAUGUAACCAUCAUAUUUAUUUGUAAGAUUAGAUUCACACUAUUUGCCUCCACAUUGUUAAGUACCACAGAGGGAUAUUAUAAUUAUUCUUACAGAAAGGGACUGCCUCACACACACACACACACACACACACACACACACACACACACACACACACACACACACACACACACACACACACACACACACACACACACACACACACACACACGUAUAAAGAUCUACAAAGAAAACUAAAAUAAAAAUUAAUGAAAUUGUAAUCUUUUCUCGUGCUCAUUUUAAUUCAUUCAUGAAUAUAAUCAUUAAGAUACAUUUGUGUAUAUAUAUAUAUUGCACACUACUAGACUAGCACCAAUAAAGUACUGGUCAUAAUGGACCACAAUUAUUAAUCAGACACAUAUAUGUAAAUACAUCAUAUACAAAUUACCAUGUGUCAAUAGAAUAUGUACACAUAUACAUAUAAUACAAUAGUCAACAUAUACAUUCAAGACAAAAAUAUUUCAACAGGAAUGAACAUUUCAAAAAAUGCCAUAUUAUCUAUUUGAAUUGUUUAAAUUUUAAUGUCAUUGUCUCAUUUGUCAUAUUCUGUUUUCAGCUUAGAGAUUUUUUCUUUCCAUCGAAAAUAUUCGUUGAAACGUAUUGCA